rnacentral:rRNA from 1 species
UACAGAGGGUGCGAGCGUUGUCCGGAAUCACUGGGCGUAAAGGGCGCGUAGGCGGCUUGAUAAGGUUGCGGUGAAAGCCCGGGGCUCAACCCCGGGUCGGCCGUGGCAACUGUCGAGCUGGAGCACUGUAGAGGCAGGUGGAAUUCCGGGUGUAGCGGUGGAAUGCGCAGAUAUCAGGAGGAACACCGGUGGCGAAGGCGGGUCUCUGGGCAACAACUGACGCUGAGGAGCGAAAGCGUGGGGAGCGAACAGG